UGACAAUACUGAGGCAGAAGCUCGGGAAUCCACUCGGCUUCUACUGCUGACACACCUGAUGGAGACGGAAAGACAGAAGACAUUUCCCCAGACGAGGAACUCCGGCAGCGUUUUGAAGAGCGCAGAGUGGGGAUGAAUGAAAACCGGGUCGUCCAGAAGAGGCGUCUGUUACCAAACACAGAGAAAGGUCUUCAAAGAUCUCCCUGACUGUCAUGGCUGCUACCACAGCGAUGACGUAAGGAAGGCAGUCCUGCUGCUGACCAAGAGCUAACAU